rnacentral:lncRNA from 1 species
UUGUUAUAUUUAGUAAUCUCUAAUGGGUUUUUCAGUUAUGGUGCUAAAUAUCUAAUGCAUUUUCAUUUAUUUUUUAUUGCAAGGUUUUAACAAUAAUGGCAAUUUGCUACUGUGGAUAUUUAUGUUAAAGACCUCAAGAUUAUAUUUAUUAAUUCAGUUAAACAACAUGAUGAAAACUACAUGGUUGCUUCAGUGGAUGUUGAUCUUUUUCAUAUCAAGAUUAAACCGAUAUCAUUGGAUGUGGUUUCCUUUGCGUACUAAAGAAUCGACUCUUUCUAUCUAUGGAUGUCACAGUUUUGUUUGCUUCAAAAUCUAGGCUUUUUUCAAAGCCACAAUUCUGUUAAAAACAUUACUGAGCAAAAAAGAAAUUUUUUUGUUAAA